CCCUCAACGUUCUACACGACUCUGUAUUCUGUAACUAGCCUAGACUAAAGAACCUGAAAGUGUUUGAAAGAAGCUCAUGAUGCCAGCCAAAGCUGUGUCAUAACAGUCUCUAAAUUCACUUUCAACAAAAGGGUGAACAGCAAAUUGCGGAGCCGACUAUCAGAACUAACCAAAAUCCACAAGAUAAACCACUGUAUUACUGUCUGCAAACUGAUAACGUUAGAUGCUUUAAGUGACAACAAUAGUGUUCGGAAUCCCAAUAUUUGAGUCC
rnacentral:lncRNA from 1 species